rnacentral:rRNA from 1 species
AAAUUGAAGAGUUUGAUCAUGGCUCAGAUUGAACGCUGGCGGCAGGCCUAACACAUGCAAGUCGAGCGGCAGCGGGAAGUAGUUU